rnacentral:rRNA from 1 species
UGAGGAAUAUUGGUCAAUGGACGGAAGUCUGAACCAGCCAAGUAGCGUGCAGGAUGACGGCCCUAUGGGUUGUAAACUGCUUUUGUAUGGGGAUAAAGUUAGGGACGUGUCCCUAUUUGCAGGUACCAUACGAAUAAGGACCGGCUAAUUCCGUGCCAGCAGCCGCGGUAAUACGGAAGGUCCAGGCGUUAUCCGGAUUUAUUGGGUUUAAAGGGAGCGUAGGCUGGAUAUUAAGUGUGUUGUGAAAUGUAGACGCUCAACGUCUGACUUGCAGCGCAUACUGGUUUCCUUGAGUACGCACAACGUUGGCGGAAUUCGUCGUGUAGCGGUGAAAUGCUUAGAUAUGACGAAGAAAUCCGAUUGCGAAGGCAGCUGACGGGAGCGCAACUGACGCUUAAGCUCGAAGGUGCGGGUAUCAAACAGG